rnacentral:rRNA from 1 species
CCCUUAGAUGUUCUGGGCCGCACGCGCGCUACAAUGAUGAAUUCAACGAGCUUAUAACCUUGGUUGAAAAGCCUGGGUAAUCUUUUGAACUUUCGUCGUGAUGGGGCUAGACCCUUGCAAUUUUUGGUCUCCAACGAGGAAUUCCUAGUAAACGCAAGUCAUCAACUUGCAUUGAUUACGUCCCUGCCCUUUGUACACACCGCCCGUCGCACCUACCGAUUGGAUGGUCCGGUGAAGCCUCGGGAUUGUGGUUCUUGCCGCUUUAUUGUGGCGUGACCGCGAGAACUUGUCUAAACCUUAUCAUCUAGAGGAAGGUGAAGUCGUAACA